ensembl:lncRNA
AAGGGGGAGGCUGCCUCUUCAAGGCGGCUCCACAGGAGAUCUGGGGCACAGGCAGCAUGAUGGUUGGAGGAGGCUGAAGGUGGUUGGGGUUCUACCAAAAUCUAAAGUUGAGAGAUCAGGGCAACUACGUGCUACAACUACCGGACCAGCCACAGCUAGAGUCCCUGUGCCCCCAUGGAAGAUCCCGCAUGGCACAAUGAAGACCCUGUGUGCGACAACCAAGACCAACACAGCUGAAUGAACCAUUUUAAAAAGAGAGACAGAGAGACCUAAAGAACUUGCUUGCCCCUUUCUCCAUGCAUGGACACAGUGAGAAACUCCCAGUCAUGAACCAGGAAGGGGUCCCUCACCAGAUCACCACCAUGCUGGCACCCUGAUUUUGGAUUUCCAGCCUACACAAUGGUGAGAAAUAAGAUUCUGUUGUUCAAGACAAUUUCUCCAAAGAAGACAUACACAUGGCCAAUAAACAUGAAAAGAUGCUCAACAUCACUCCUUAUUAGAGAAAUGCAAAUCAAAGCUACAAUGAGAUAUCACCUCACACUAACCAGAAUGGCCAAAAAAUCUACAAGCAAUAAAUGCUGGAGCGGCUAUGGAGAAAAGGGAAUCCUCUUGCACUGUUAGUGGCAGUUUAAAUUGGUUCAGCCACUAUGGAGAACAGUAUGGAGAUUCCUUAACAAACUAGGAAUAAACUACCAUGUGCUUAUAUGCAUGCCGUGCUAAGUUGCUUCAGUUGUGUCUGAUUCUUUGAAUCCCUUAUGGACUGUAGCCUGCCAGGCUCCUCCGUCCAUGGGGAUUCUCCAGGCAAGAACACUGGAGUGGGUUGCCAUGCCCUUCUCCAGGGCAUCUUCCUGACCCAGGAGAUCUUCAUCUCCUGCGGCUCCUGCACUGCAGGCAGAUUCUUUACCACUGAGCCACUGGGGAAGCUCCAAACUACCAUAUGACCCAGAAAUCCCAUGACUGGGCAUAAAUCCUGAGAAAACCACAAUUCAAAAAGACAUAUGUACUCCAAUGUCCACUGCAGCAUUAUUG